UACGAAGGGGGCUAGCGUUGCUCGGAAUCACUGGGCGUAAAGGGUGCGUAGGCGGGUCUUUAAGUCAGGGGUGAAAUCCUGGAGCUCAACUCCAGAACUGCCUUUGAUACUGAAGAUCUUGAGUCCGGGAGAGGUGAGUGGAACUGCGAGUGUAGAGGUAAAAUUCGUAGAUAUUCGCAAGAACACCAGUGGCGAAGGCGGCUCACUGGCCCGGUACUCGACGCUG
rnacentral:rRNA from 1 species